GCAUUUGGUAUACGAUAUGAUAAGAUACAUGAUGUGUGAUGUCUCGAAAGAUUAUUAUUACUUGACGAUUAAAGUUGAAUGAGAUUUUAUUAUAUGAUCCUGUAACCUGGAGAUGAAACAAUAUUUUAAAUAUAUAUGUUUUGAUAUUGAGCAACAAUUGUUAUGUUCUUCACAUGUUAUCGUAGUUUUCGUUUUGUCACAUGGUGAUAUCUCUGUGUUAUGAUUCUUUAGUACUCUUUACUAUGUGUUAUUGGGGUAAUAGAAAAACGAAGAAAACUAGAGUUCAACA
rnacentral:lncRNA from 1 species